ACAGAACAAGUCGUGAAAAGUGUACUGAAGUUUUGUUAGAACAUUUGCUGAAUAGUGCGAUAAUCUGGUAAAGGAAUGUAUAGGAGGAGCAUCCAGUCGAUGUUAAAGUGUCAAAGCAUGGAAUCAUGAAUGUUUGACAUAUUGAUGGUGCAAUAUAACUAUGACAGACAACUCUUUGCAAGAUGAUAAGUAACUUUUGAUAUACAUCAAAGAAUCAAUAAUACUAAUCUAUUUUUGGUGGAUGCAGCAACACAGUUGCAAGACAGGAAAAGUACUGCUGCAGAGGAAGACAAAGAAGAGAAACCUAUUAUAAUUAAUUUUGUUAAUAUAGGCAAUUUAAUUUAAAUUAGUUAAUUUA